GAUGAAGAACGCAGCGAAAUGCGAUAAGUAAUGUGAAUUGCAGAAUUCAGUGAAUCAUCGAAUCUUUGAACGCACCUUGCGCCCUUUGGCUAUUCCGAAGGGCAUGCCUGUUUGAGUAUCAUGAAAACCUCAACUCUCAUGGCUUGCCAUGAUGAGCUUGGACUCUGGGGGUCUUGCUGGCUUUACGGUCAGCUCCUCUCAAAUAAAUCAGCUUGCCGGUGUUUGGUGGGAUCACAGAUGUGAUAACUAUCUACGCUUGUGGUUUUCCGCCAGGUAACCUUCAGCAAUGGAGGUUCGCUGGAGCUCAUAAAUGUCUCUCCUCAGCGAGGACAGAUUUUGACCGUUUGAUCUCAAAUCAGGUAGGACUACCCGCUGAACUUAAGCAUAUCAAUAAGCGGAGGA
rnacentral:misc_RNA from 1 species